ACUUGGCGCUCAAUCACGAUUCACAAAUCAGUUUUCGACGCGCAGGAUGAGUGCAUCACUGUUCACCCGUCAACCAGAGCCACGCCAACCACCGGCUCCACUACAACCAGUGAUCCCUAAUCGCCGCGCAGCAUGAGUCUGCAUCACUGUUCACCCUCAACUGGAGCCAGGCCACGCCAACUCCACCGGGGGAACCGCGAGAGAGACAGAGAGGGAGACGUCGCGCUAGGCCGCUAGCGCCCGCCGGAGGCAGAUCGACCCGGGACCUGCCGCCGCCCGACCUCGCGAUGCAGCAGCAGCGGCCGCCGUCCGUCCGCGCCGUCACCAUCCCCUUCGCCGACCUGGAGGAUAAGGGCAAGGACCUGAGCGGCAAGAUCGGGGGUGGCUUCGGGCGCCAAGGGCUCGGCAUCGUCUCCAUCGCCGACGUUCCUGGUUAUCCGGAGCUCAGGAAAAGGCUACUGCGCCUGGCGCCAAGGGUUGCAAACCUUCCUGAAGAAGUGAAGAGAGGACUGGAAGACCCAAAUAGCAGAUAUAACUUCGGUUGGAGCCAUGGGAAACAGAAAUUUGAGUCUGGCAAAUUUGACACAUUCAAAGGCUCGUAUUUUGCCAACCCAUUAUUUGAUGUCCCUACCACUGACGAUGUGCUUUUAACUAGAUUCCCAUCAUACUGCCGACCAAACAUAUGGCCAACUGGUGAUCUUCCUGAGCUUGAAACAGCAUUCAAAGACCUUGGAAAGUUGAUGCUAGAAGUUGGCUUGAUGUUGGCUCAUCACUGUGAUCACUAUGUAAUGAAUCAAGGAGUGGGACAAUAUAUUGGUGAAAGCCUUGGACAGACUCUUGCUCGCUCAAGGUGUCAUAAGGGUCGUCUGCUGUACUAUUUUCCCAAAAAGUUUAGCAAACAGAAAGAUGGUCAAUCUAUUUCGUCCUGGUGUGGAUGGCAUACUGACUAUGCAUCUUUGACAGGGCUUACAUGUGGCUUGUUCGUGAGAAAAUCUGUGGAGAUUCCUUGUCCUGAUAGUGGAGCUGGGCUACACAUCCGAUCUCGUGAUAAUCAAGUUGUUAAGGUUACAUUUGAGGAUGAUGAAUUGGCCUACAUGACUGGGGAAACUGCUGAAAUACUAUCAAGAGGUCACCUACAUGCAACCCCACACUGUGUGAAGGCGCCCAGCAGCGAAGAUGCUUCGCUUGUUGACCGCUCGACUUUUGCGCUGUUCGUGCAGCCAAAUUGGUCUUUAUUAUCAGUCAAACAGUUUUAGUCCAGCGCACCUGAUUGAUAUUCCAAGGUCAGGGACGGACGUGCGGUAGAUGGAACAGCUAGGCCCAGUUUGUAUAGGCUGGGAUGAGAAGAUCAAGUUUCCAAGUGGAUUCCCUUAUCACCAAGAGCUGUCGAUUCCACCGAACGAAACACUUGCGUACGGGGAGUACUCAGAGAGGAUACUGAACAAGCAUUACGAGGAGGCAAGAACGUGAAGCAAAGCAAUGUGAUCUCGCAAUACACACUGUAAUAGUAUAGCCAAUGAGCGAAUGCCGAAACUGUGCAGAAGCAAACUGAAGUGAGGUGAAUCACCGCUCACAACAAUGUACCAACAAAACACAAACCCGUGAUAUCUGAUGUACUUCCUCCCAAAUUGUUGUUCA